UAUGAAGCAAAGCUGUGUCACUGAAUUCCUUCAUGCAGGAAACCAGGCAUUGGUAUUCUAUCCAUAUGAUCCUACUGAGUGCCACCAUUAUGGCUCAUUUUCUCUCCAAGGCUUUGUUUAAGAGGGGCAACCUGACAAAAUGGCAUUCGAUAUGGAAGUGAGCAUGAAGCAAAGGUGCGUUACUGAUUUCCUCCUAGCAGAAAGAAUGGCACAAACUAACAAUCAUAGAUGCUUGCUGAACAUUUAUGGAGAUCAACCAGUGGAUGUGAGUAAAGUAUGAGGUGGUGUGUGGUGCAUUUCAGUAGUGAUGACAGUAACGUUAAAGGCAAGCCACAUUCCAGACUGUAAUGCACAGCUGUCACGCCAUGAAAUGAAGAGUGUCUCAAUCUGCUCAUCACGUGAAUCAGCUGGUGGUGGUGACUAGGUUGAAAAAUAGUGUUCUGCAGCUGAGAAUUUGCUCUAUCAGACAUUAUUAUUGUGCUGUUUGUGUCUGUUAUAGUUUCCAUGGAAAUAAAUAAGAGGCACUACUUUUGGAGUGACCUAUGUACAUUCAAUAUCAUGCCAUAUACAAUAAUAUUAAAAAAAAGUUUUGCUGAUGUGUUGUUGAAGAAAUAAAAUCAUGAAUACUUAUUGUUAUUUGGAAAGAGUACAUUAACAAAGGUUCUUUAUUACAAGAAAAUCUCAUAAAUAAAAAAUAUUACAAGUGUCAAUUUAUCUUCUCUGGUUAAUUGUAUUUCCUGACCUAUAUUAUAUCUCUAAUCAAUGAUUAUGUAUAAUUCACAAGCUUCAAUAUAUUCACGUUUACAAAAAUUGCAUUUUCCUUAAUUCAAUGUUUACAUUCAAUUUUCUUACUUUGAAUCAUGUAAGGGUGAAAAGGGUUACUUCUUUGAUAUGAGCCAAACUAAUUUCUGAAUACUUGAUAUAGAAGUUUGAAAUAUAAGCUUAUUUCCUAUCCUAUUUUUCCCCAUAAAUUUACAGAAUAGCAUGAAACAGAUUGGUUGAAAUUAAACAUUAAACCAGGAGUUAGGAAUUUUCUAAGUUUUGAGUUUUUUAUUUUUCUCCUAGAAAUUACCCCGGUAAUCUCAUGUCAGACAAAACUCACUGGACCUUUUUGCCCUCAAAGAAAUCAAAGCUGAGCACUUCAUUUUGUUCCAUACAGGACAAGAUUUCAUCCAAACACUGAAACACUGAAAACAUAUGUGUAGUAAUAUUUAUUUCUGAAUUUUUAAAGAUCUAAUUAGUACGGAUUUUUCCCAAGGCACAAUAGGGGUAAAAUUUAGCUCAACUAUGAGAAGUAAAAUUAUGUGUUUGUGGAAUAUAAGCAAAGAGAAAUAUUGACAUCAUAUAUGGAAAGAAAAAAUGUCAAUGCAUGUGUGCUAAAUUAAAAAUGAGGGGAGAGAAGUGAAUUGCUUGAUCUUUAUCACUUAGACGAUUUGUGGGUUUUUUGAAUCUAGAGGUCUCUUGUGUCAAUUUUCUUCCAUUUCCCCAAUAAUUUACAGAUAGCUACUUCAGAAACACAAAUUUGAAAUAAGUAAUUCGAUGUGAUCUUGAAGAGAUUAAAUGAACAGUCCUCCUCUACCUCCUGCAUUUUACUUCCUAAGGAAUUUCACUGUGAGUUAAAUAACAUAUGGGCUGCUGAGCAGGCAAUAUAAUAAUUGUCUUUUGGUGAAUAAAAGCAGAAAAAAAAAUCUACAAAUUUGUUUGCACUCUAAUGACAAUUUUCUUUAGUAGAAUGAAAAGCCUUUUUGAGGUCUGCCUCUAAAAAUCUCUGAUGCUUCUGUUUAAUCUAUAAACUAAUCCAUGCUUCUGUCACCUGAAAUUUAGAUGAUUGUUUUUACCUUGUAUAGUCAACAGUUUAAUAAUGCUAUUUCACGUGUGAAACAUAGCUGUUUCACAUUCUGUGGAAUAAAGAAGGCAGUAUCACAGGGCAAAUUAUUUUAUUCAAAAUAAAUUUGUAUCUUGUUAAAGAUGACUCAUCCUCGAGAGAUGACUUGGUUUGUCAAUGACUUCUUCAUUGACUGAAUACUUUACCUAGUAGAAAAACACCUGCUUAGAUUCUUGAUGUUACAAAAGAACCACAUCCUUAAAUAAUAAAAUUUGUAGUUCAAU
ensembl:lncRNA